UUUAAUGAAAAACAGUCCCUCAGAGGGACAGUUGCUGUCCGUUGGCCCUGGACCAUAGAAUGUUCUGGCAUCACCAGUGAUGUCAGAGAAGCCUUUUGGUUGGACUCUGGUGGCAGUUUGAAUCCUCAACAGUCAUACUGGUGGCAGGGGCACAGAGCAGUGCCUCUGGAUUGCUGAGUCAGGGGACAUGUCCCUGAGCAUUUGAGGAGAGGAGAGGGGUGAUCAGCUGUUUCAUUUUCAGGCUCUUCCUAGCUCUUAGAACACUGAGAUGUAUCUGACUUGCAAAGAAGACGAAGUUGAAGUCACUCUUCUAGAAACUGCCUGGUGCAGAUCCCGUGGUGACAGAGAUAAAAGGAUGGGCCUUUGAACAUGGCUCAGACAUCACAUCUGGACCUGGAUCCUCCUGGUGUCACCUGGAUUGGCUGCCCUGGAGACACACUUUGUCAUCCCUGCAAGCUCAUUCCAGUCCCCACAGUGCCUGGAACCCUUGCCACUGAGAUUCGAGUGAAGAAUGAGAUAAGUCCUAAGAAUGUGGUCGAUUGGGCUCGAGUCUCCUUACAAACAUAUACUGGAUACCCAGCAGGAGACUUUCAUGCUGAACCCUCCCAGGGUGAUUCCCACAAUGACAGGACAUUGCUGACCGGUAUCCCCCAACCCCUCAUUUCUACAAAGCAUGUUUUUUGGCCAACUUAUUAGGCACAGGUCUCUAGUAGCUUCUGGCGUUUCAGAGACCAAGGAAGGUCAAGUUUGCUGAAAGUCCUGGAUUCCUCUGACUUCUCUACACUCAGAGCUUACAUUAGGAGAACCCUCGUUCUCUCAUGAGCUCCCACACAGCCCGCUGCACUGGUUAUGCUCUGCUGAAGCAGUCUUGCCCAUCGUGGCAGGCUACUUGGUCUUCCAUGGAGGCACCGAGGCUGCCUCGCCUUGACCUCCAGAGCCAUACCCCACAGGGCUGUCCAGAUGUAGCCUCCAUCCUCCUUGUAAAUCCUAUCCUUGAGGGACUAGAGCGUACCCUGUUCUUUCUUCUGGCUGUGUGUAGGUGCUGCUCAGCCACUGUUUCUGUGACCCCAAAACCCAAGGAGAAAGGGAUCUGACUGGUUCUCCAUUUCUGGGCUGCUUUUGCCACAGCUGACCCAUGAUGAAGUGGGAGCCAAGUCCUCAUAGCCCUUCCUAUUGAGUAUGCAUUCCAAGUUCCAUGCUGUAGACACCAGCCACCUGAGAGGCCAAACCAGCAUCUCCUCUCUUCCUUGUGCAGAGUCUCCACAAGAGAAGCCAGAUCCCUCCGUUUUUGUAGGUUUGUCGCCUCCAUGUCAGACAGGAUGUUUCUAAUGGGCACAUCCUUUCUUCAGUACACCCCUCAAAGGGCCUCACUCCCCAAGGGGUUGGAGGCUCUAUCAAUUGAGAAGUUGCUUCAAUCUUUCUUUUUUGGAUCUGCAAAAGAUGGGGACCAAGGACCUUCUUGUUUGGUAAUCAGAAACAGGCUAAGCCCUUGUGAAAAGGACAGAAUGAAAAAAAAUGUGGAAGAAAAGUAGAUAGUGAGAAAGAAUGACAACGAUUUUUCUUUAACGUCACUCUAUGAUGGUCUGUUUUAUUCUGCUACAGUUUAAUAAAGAGUCCGUGUGAAUGGAUUAAAAAUAGGCAUGAAAGGCAAGCAAUGCUCACAAGGAGACAAGAAAGCGGAAGUAUCAAAAAUGGACCUGUGUUCAAUUUCACAGACAGCCAAGAAAAUGAAGCCUGUCACCCUGCAAGGCCAAGUCACACCGGUUACCGGCAAGAUUUGAAAAGGAUGGUCACUUCCAGUAGUGGAUAACUACUUUGUCAAGAAAUUGAAAAGUUUGGGAACUUGCCCUCGGCUUGCACACUUUGACAUACAGUUUUGAAUGAAUGAAAAUUAUAAGGUACUUGGGUCAUGGGUGAGGGCUUCUCAGGGAUAAGAAAACUGAUGCAGGACACACAGCCCCCACUGGUCCCUCCCAUCCAGUCCCAUGUGCCUCAAGCAGGGGUCAGCCCACAGCCAGUACAAAAUAUUUUUCUCUGUAUCCAAGACAGCUGUCUGUCCUUCUGUAUCCUCCCAUCCCCGCCUCCCUCUAGAAAGGCAGGAGAAAAAUCUUUGUUUUUUGGGAGGAGAUCCUGGAUUCUCCCCCUAGCCUUUUGGAAUAUAAUAAGCCUCUCUCCAAAAGCCAAAAUUUGUCUCGAUCUUUUGAACCAGAGGGAGGACUCCAAGGUGUAGAACAGAAAUACCUGGGAGGUGGGGAAGGGACUGUCCCUUUUCCUGACUUCUUAACUACUUCACCUGAGGUGCUAGUCUGGGCUUUUUAACUACUUGGUCCUCUUAGGGAAUUAGGAAAGUUUUAUUAUAAGCCUUAUGGAUCAGAGAAAUAAAAUAUAAAUGGAUGGGGUAAAAAAAAAAAUACAAUCUGAGCUUUAGGGAAAAUCAAGGCAAGUUGCAGGUAGCUGGCCACCCAGGUCUAUGUCCCCGAAGUAUUAAGACACUUUGGCUUACCAAAAUAUAAAACAAAAACCGUCACACCAAAGUUGAACGGGGCAAGCUAAGAGAAGGAAAAGAGCCCAAGAGAAGGCACUAGAACCAGAGAGUCACUGGUUCCCACACUCGGGAGUCUCACGAAAAUACUAAACCCUGAAAGCUAUUAUGAUGUGUUAGAAUAGCGGCUCGUGUCUGAACACAGCACACUAGGCCCAAAACAGUUCCACGUGUAAAAAGUUUAGUGGGAGAGAAAGGAACAAGGUGGCGGCAGAGAGAGAAGGGGAUGGGGGGAGGGGCAUUCCUCUUGUAUAUAUGGAUGGUGAUGUGGUCACAGGUAAAGGUGGGAGGUGAGUCCAAUGGAUUCUGGGAAUAUGGUGGCCAUUGUCUUGGCAACAGGUCUGUGGGGCCUGUCAAUGUGACGUCAUGGGUUUUGGAGGUCCUGUUGCCAACAUAUAAUGUAUAUGCAGAGGAACUGGCUCAGAACCAAGGUUUUCACUAAGUUGCAUAGAGUGUAGUCAGGAUUUUGCAGCCGGAAAUGCACAUGCUUAAUGAUUCUCCACGGGGAGGAAGACACCCAGUAUAGCCAGCUCUUUGUCACAGUGUGCUUCUAAAAAUUUUACUAUGUGGACUCGUGAUGAAGAUGAAGCAUAAGGUCAAAAGGAGAUACAAGAAUUACAGUUGCAGAAUGCCUGAGAUUGGCAGACCCGGAAGCAAAAUGUAAAUGGAAGCAAUGCAGUGGAAGUCUCGGAGUGGGAGGUCUCCAGAGAGCCUCACACACCAGGGUACAUUCCCAGGCUGAAGGUGGUGAAGCUGGAAACAGCGUAAAUGGCUGUUUUUUCCUUCUUCCUCAAUUUAGCCAGCUUGUGUCAAUGUUUUGGUCUUUCUUCUAGUUUUCCUUCGAAGAUGUGUCCAGGAGCAUACCUGAGCUCACAGAGUGCUAUUGCAUUGUGCUAGAUUGUUCUUACACGAUCCUUUUAUAUCCUGAUCCGGAGUACUUUUCUCUAUUUAAAUGAAAACUGCAAAACACAGCUCUUGUCCCAAAAGGAAUAAGAGAAUUUGUCUUGAGUCAAAUAUGAAUGACCAAUACACAGAAACUCACAUGGAAGUUACCUCAAAUGUGAUGGUACUCUCCUCCAACAGAAGAGAUUACAAGAACGUUCGUACGUAUAGAACGAAAAGUCAUAUAAAUGCAUUUGCCUAAUACAUUCGUGGGGACAUUAGGUACACAGUCACAGAAGAGAAAGGAUCCCUCUUCAAAAGGACUCUGGUUUGGGUAUGGGGUUGGUGGGAGUUAGUGAUCUGACGGUGAACACAUUGCAAAAGUUUUGCCUGAUGGUAAUAAUUCCUUCGGGUCAGAUACCGAGACGGAUCACUGAUGGCUUUUAAGAGGGGCUGACGUUGUCUAGAGAUCAUUUUAGCACUUGAUGUACAACGGCUCCAGUCUCCCGGCCUGGACUUCUGACUGGUCAGUUGCUACAGUUGCUUCCAUGUGAAUGAGGCCUUUUCAGAAAAUGACAAUUCACAGCAAGAUGUGGAGACCCAGCAAUAUUGUCUCGAAGAGUGUGGACAAGAGUUUAAAUGUAGACAAGGAGUAUGCACACCUAGUACCAAGGGAAACUCCAUGAGUUAACUGCAUCUCUAAGAGGACAGGGCAGGGCUGUGAAGAAGUGAAAGUAUUUUCUUAGGAACUCAGAUUUAUUCACUUAAUCUACUCUGUGCCAGGUACAUACGGUGCUGGGCAGCAGCCUGGAUACCAGCGAAAUUGCUCUCCAGUUGUAGGGGCGGGGUAUUAUAGUCAUGUGUCCCAUGAUGUCAGGUGGCAGAAAUGUCUUGAUGAAAAACUGGGUGUCCCAGAGAUGUGGCUGCUAUUUUAAAUGGGGUGAUGAGGGAAGGCUCUUUCAGGGACAAUAACUGAGCAGAGCCCGCAAAGAAAAAGGGAUGCCAAGUGUUAUGGCAGCAAGCACUAUCUUGUGGCUCACUUCUAUUCUCUUCAGGUUAAUUCUCUUCGGGUUUAUUCUCUCGGGUAUUUUCUCUCAGGUUUAUUCUCUUCGGGUUAAUUCACUUCUAUUCAGGUUAAUAGCACAGCAAACCCAACCCUAGCAUGCUCUGGGUGAUGUUCUAGUGUGAGAAGACACCUGGGUCCAUAGCCUACCACUUUAGUUUCUCUGCAUUCCAAUAUAUCAUUUGCAAUAUAUAACAAUACAUAAUUGGUAAUCAAAAAUUGGUAAAGAAAAAUGGAUUUAUUUACAGUUUGGACAAAAUGGGAAGAGACAAAGACUUUGAUUUCCUCCUGCAGCUCCCUAUAGUGUGUGUCACCUUUCAUAUGUGCACAGAGCACACACAGGAAGGGUGAGACUCAGGACCCUGCCAGGUGCAGAGUUCUGGUGCCUGCCUCUCUCUCCAGGGAGAGCCUGGAGAAGUACUAAUUUUGCUUUGCUUCCUCUGGGUUUGGAUGUACAAUACACCACCACCACAGAAGAACGGUGUGGCUACCACCUACCUUUUCUCUCCUGGAAAUGCACCAGUUGCCAUUUAUUACCUGGAAUGGCACUGUUUCGAAACAUGUAAGGUAUGGGAGUAACAAGUAAAAAGCUCGGCUCCUGCUUUUCUAUUGUGUAACCUUAACCCUCACCCCUCUAUAACACUAUCAUUACAACAAGGAAUAAUUUCAUCUAUCCCACAGAAAUGGUGCAUUGUAAAGACUUCAUGGAUGUCUGGUAUAGAAGUGUUAAAUCUGUAUAUGUUACUGCUACUAGAGAGUCCUUGUUGAACUUGGAGAAUUAUUUUCCCCAAGUGUAUAAAGUAUAAUAAAGCAUUCAUGUAUUUGA